UACAGAGGUCUCAAGCGUUGUUCGGAUUUAUUGGGCGUAAAGGGUGCGUAGGCCGCAUGGUAAGUCUGGUGUGAAAUCCUGGAGCUCAACUCCAGAAUUGCACUGGAUACUGCCGUGCUAGAGGACUGGAGAGGAGAUUGGAAUUCACGGUGUAGCAGUGAAAUGCGUAGAUAUCGUGAGGAAGACCAGUGGCGAAGGCGAAUCUCUGGACAGUUCCUGACGCUGAGGCACGAAGGCCAGGGGAGCAAACGGG
rnacentral:rRNA from 1 species